rnacentral:rRNA from 1 species
AAGAAACUAACCAGGAUUCCCUCAGUAACUGCGAGUGAAGCGGGAAAAGCUCAGACUGAAAAUCUUCGGAAUUGUAGUCUGGAGAAGUAUGGUCAGCCGAUAAUGAUGGGUAAAGUCUUCUGGAAAGGAGCGCCAUGGAGGGUGAUAGCCCCGUUCAUACCUAUUAUUAGAAGCGUACGACCUGCUUUCUACGAGUCGAGUUGUUUGGGACUGCAGCUCUAAGUGGGUGGUAAAUUCCAUCUAAAGCUAAAUAUUGGUGGGAGACCGAUAGCGAACAAGUACCGCGAGGGA